UUCAUGAUGAGUGUGUGCAUAUGUCUCUUCAGAAAUAUCACAUUAGUUCAUUUUAAAUAACUUAGUUAUAGUUACAAGAAUAUCAGAUGAGAUCAGUCAGGUGAAAAAGUGUAUUGGUUUUACCAGUGGAGGUUGGAUAAGUCGUGCCAAAGGGUUAGUUGAGCCCCCCCUUGUUUCUAGAAAACUCUACACAGAAUUAAUCAUGUGACCAAAUAUUUAGGAAGAGGUCAUAAUUUCAUGCAGUCUGUGAAGGAAAAAAACACAUGGAAAAAGUGAGCAGACACAAUCAUGCCCUGUGUAUACAAAUGUCAAACAAGCAGGGGUCUUGCCCCCUUUGAGGUUCUUGAAAGAGCAGCCAAGGAAGUGAGAGGAGGGAAGAAGUCCAUUCAAGCAGCAGCAAGGGAUGAAAACAUUGAUCGAUUGACACUGAAGAGUUUGUUUGAGGGACUUCACCACCGUUGCUGUUCACAGCUGAAAGGCCAGAGAGGUUUCAAUUCCCUCUUCGACCCUACGAUGUAAGAACACUCUCACCAGUACAGCCGUGGGGGAGUGGUUUGUAACUAUGACAACCGAGGAGAUGGAAUGGCAAUGGGUGGGAAAAGGGGGGUCUAUGGGGUUGGAAGAGAUGAAUGGAUAUGACAGUGGGUGUUGAAAUGUAAGGUUACUUGCGUAACCCAGGUUCUCUGAUAUUAAGAGUGAAAUAUCUCACAUAUGGUAUUCACCAGAAUCUCAGAAGCUCGAAGAACUUAUUACACAUCUGUUGGUCAGAUAGGUCGAGUGGAAAGGAACUGAGCUCCUUCCCCCAUUAUAAGGAGCCACUCGCCCGCCCUCUGGUCAUUCUUGAGCAUACUGACUUCCUCACACUCUUGCGAGUAAGGGAAUGCAGUGAGAUGUCUUACUCAUGAUAUCAGACAACCUGGGUUACGCAAGUAACCUUGAGUUCUCUUUCAAUGAUUUGUUUUGAUGUCUCACAUGUGGGAUAUGGGCAACUCCUGUAUUGCAAACAUGCGCUCCGAUGCCAGGUAGUCUCAACGUAUCAACCCUCAGAGGUCCCGACACUGAGGACAGUAUGCGCCAAUGAAGGUGCAGUGACGUCUAGCCAGUAAAACCUCAUAACAGUAUGAGAGGAUGCCCAACAAGCCAAAGAGAUGCCCUUAAACAGUUCUACAGCUGCACCAUUGAGAGCAUCUUGACUGGCUGCAUCACCAUUUGGUACGGCAAUUGCAAGGCACCCGACCACAAGGCGCUACAGAGGAUAGUGAGUUCGGCCCAGUACAUCACUAGAGCCGAGCUCCCUGCCAUUCAGGACCUCUAUGCCAGGUGGUGUCAGAGGACGGCCCUAAAAAUUUUCAAAAACUCCAGCCAAGUCAUAGACUGUUCUCUUGCUACCGUACAGCAAGCAUUACCAGUGCACCAAGUCUAGAACCAACAGGACCCUGAACAGCUUCUACCCCCAACCCAUAAGACUGCUGAACAAGCACGAACUCUUGUGUUGUGCACUGACUCUAUGCACACACAUUGAACUCUACCCAAACACACACACAUAAUUACACUG